GACGAACGCUGGCGGCGUGCUUAACACAUGCAAGUCGAACGGAAAGGCCCUGCUUUUGUGGGGUGCUCGAGUGGCGAACGGGUGAGUAACACGUGGGUAACCUGCCCGUUACUUUGGGAUAACUUCUGGAAACUGGGGCUAAUACCGGAUAGGAACUCCUGCUGCAUGGUGGGGGUUGGAAAGUUUCGGCGGUUGGGUUUGGACUCGGGGCUUAUCAGCUUGUGGGUAGGGUUGUGGCUUAGCCUGGCUUGGACGGGGAGCCGGCCUGGGCGGGUGACCGGCCCCAUUGGCUCCGGGAUGCGGCCCUAAGGCCUCCGGGGGGAAGGAGGGGAGACUGUUGGAGAAAGGGCGGAAGCGUGAAGAAGGAUCGCCGCGUGCGAGAUGACGGCGUUCGGGUUGUAAACCGCUUACGCCUGUAACGAAGCGUGAGUGACGGUAAUGAGUAAAGAAGCACCGCCAACCUCCGU
rnacentral:rRNA from 1 species